UUGCCCGAGCUCACCGGACGGGGCUGGGAACAGACCCCAGCGCCCUGCCCUUGGACCCAGCCUCAGAGCCGGCCUCGGCCUUCAGCUCGCUGCCUGAUUUGCCCAUUCACGGGGCUCAGCCUGUGUGACCCUGCAGAAACCACUCGAUAUCUGCUCUGCACUGAGGCUUUUCACUGCUGCUUGUUUGGGCGGGGGUGGGGGAGAGGACACUGCUUUUAUUUCCAGGGCAUUUUCAAAUCCAGGACAAUAGAAACAAAUGAGAGUUAAAAUGUGUAUGGAAUCCAAAGUGCUGGCUGGGUGGAUUCAGUCCCAGGCCUCAGCUGAGAAGUGUCCUUUCCCGUUGGAUUUUUCUCAUCUCUUUGGGCUGUGUCCGGUACAGCCGGGUGACGGGCAGGUCAGGCUGUGUCCGGUACAGCCGGGUGACUCCGGGUGACGGGCAGGUCAGGCUGUGUCCGGUACAGCCGGUGACUCACAACAUUCUUUUUACUUCCAUUUUCUCCGUUACUCAUUGUACGAGCCAGGACGUAACUGAGCUGGAUUCCACACAAUGCAGCAACGCAGAGGGAUGGAACCAGGUCCUUAACUACAGUAUGAAUCCCCUGGUUAAUGCAUGUGCAGCUCCUGGCGCAAGGAGUGGGUGUAUAAGUGCUGAGUGUUACACCAGGCAGUCGUUAUACCACACCCAGCGGGUGCUAGGUCCCGGGCAGACAAAUCAAAUAUGCAGCCCCUGCCCCAGAUGACUCAACGUCCAGAGCCAGACCCAAGUGGACACAAAGCCAGGAGGGGGGGGAGGAGGAGGGAGGUUCUGGGAGGCGCCGGCGGGCGAGGCACAUGGCACCCUGCUUCGGGCUUGUGUUGAUUGCUCCAAACUCGUAAAGCCGGCGUCUCCGUGAGGCUGGGCAUGAGCUGACACCGCUGAUCAGCAUCUAAGUGCCUGGGAAACUCCUCCACUGGGCCAACCGGGUCACACUGGCUCAUCCUUACAGAGGUGCUGGGUGAUAAUAAUCAAAUCCACGUCAACCCCCUGGAGAGACAUUUACACGCACAGGCCAAGGGCAGGACCCAGCAGCCUCAGCGACAUGCCUCUAGCGCCAAGGGCACCGUGCGGCCCGGCCCCCUCCCGAGCUCUUGCGUGCCCCAGCUCAGGGGCUGCAGGCCCAGGCCGCGAGCGCACGGCGAGCGGGGGCGGCAGUGCCCUGCCGAGGGUCCCGCCUGCCAGCCUGGCUGCCGUGGAAUUCUCCGGGUGCCACCUCCCCCCCCCCUCCCGCUCUGCACAUGGCAGAGGCAGCUCGGUGGCUAAUUGCUGGUGUAAUUAGCUGAGCCAUUAUCGCUGCCAAUGCCAUAAAGCGGCUGUGACCCUCAUUAGGAGCCCAUUAGAGACUCUCAUAAACUCUGGAGCAGGGAGCCUGGGGUUUGAACAGCCCUAAUCCCACCAAUAAACACGUCUGCUGAGACUUCCUGUCA
rnacentral:lncRNA from 1 species